AACGCACCUUGCGCUCCUUGGUAUUCCGAGGAGCAUGCCUGUUUGAGUGUCAUUAAAUUCUCAACUAUACAAGUUUUUAUGACUUGCAUAGCUUGGAUCUUGGGAUUUGCGGGCUUUCAUAAGUCGGCUAUCCUUAAAUGUAUUAGCAGAGCUUUUGCCGCUAAUCAUUGGUGUGAUAAUUAUCUACGCCAUUGAGAGGUGACAUACUGGGGCUUAGCUUCUAACCGCCUUCACAGACAACUUUUGACAAUCUGACCUCAAAUCAGGUAGGACUACCCGCUGAACUUAA
rnacentral:misc_RNA from 1 species